rnacentral:rRNA from 1 species
GGGUUGUGAGGUUAAGCGACUAAGCGUACACGGUGGAUGCCCUGGCAGUCAGAGGCGAUGAAGGACGUGCUAAUCUGCGAUAAGCGUCGGUAAGGUGAUAUGAACCGUUAUAACCGGCGAUUUCCGAAUGGGGAAACCCAGUGUGUUUCGACACACUAUCAUUAACUGAAUCCAUAGGUUAAUGAGGCGAACCGGGGGAACUGAAACAUCUAAGUACCCCGAGGAAAAGAAAUCAACCGAGAUUCCCCCAGUAGCGGCGAGCGAACGGGGAGCAGCCCAGAGCCUGAAUCAGUAUGUGUGUUAGUGGAAGCGUCUGGAAAGGCGCGCGAUACAGGGUGACAGCCCCGUACACAAAAAUGCACAUGCUGUGAGCUCGAUGAGUAGGGCGGGACACGUGGUAUCCUGUCUGAAUAUGGGGGGACCAUCCUCCAAGGCUAAAUACUCCUGACUGACCGAUAGUGAACCAGUACCGUGAGGGAAAGGCGAAAAGAACCCCGGCGAGGGGAGUGAAAAAGAACCUGAAACCGUGUACGUACAAGCAGUGGGAGCACGCUUAGGCGUGUGACUGCGUACCUUUUGUAUAAUGGGUCAGCGACUUAUAUUCUGUAGCAAGGUUAACCGAAUAGGGGAGCCGAAGGGAAACCGAGUCUUAACUGGGCGUUAAGUUGCAGGGUAUAGACCCGAAACCCGGUGAUCUAGCCAUGGGCAGGUUGAAGGUUGGGUAACACUAACUGGAGGACCGAACCGACUAAUGUUGAAAAAUUAGCGGAUGACUUGUGGCUGGGGGUGAAAGGCCAAUCAAACCGGGAGAUAGCUGGUUCUCCCCGAAAGCUAUUUAGGUAGCGCCUCGUGAAUUCAUCUCCGGGGGUAGAGCACUGUUUCGGCAAGGGGGUCAUCCCGACUUACCAACCCGAUGCAAACUGCGAAUACCGGAGAAUGUUAUCACGGGAGACACACGGCGGGUGCUAACGUCCGUCGUGAAGAGGGAAACAACCCAGACCGCCAGCUAAGGUCCCAAAGUCAUGGUUAAGUGGGAAACGAUGUGGGAAGGCCCAGACAGCCAGGAUGUUGGCUUAGAAGCAGCCAUCAUUUAAAGAAAGCGUAAUAGCUCACUGGUCGAGUCGGCCUGCGCGGAAGAUGUAACGGGGCUAAACCAUGCACCGAAGCUGCGGCAGCGACGCUGAUGCGUUGUUGGGUAGGGGAGCGUUCUGUAAGCCUGCGAAGGUGUGCUGUGAGGCAUGCUGGAGGUAUCAGAAGUGCGAAUGCUGACAUAAGUAACGAUAAAGCGGGUGAAAAGCCCGCUCGCCGGAAGACCAAGGGUUCCUGUCCAACGUUAAUCGGGGCAGGGUGAGUCGACCCCUAAGGCGAGGCCGAAAGGCGUAGUCGAUGGGAAACAGGUUAAUAUUCCUGUACUUGGUGUUACUGCGAAGGGGGGACGGAGAAGGCUAUGUUGGCCGGGCGACGGUUGUCCCGGUUUAAGCGUGUAGGCUGGUUUUCCAGGCAAAUCCGGAAAAUCAAGGCUGAGGCGUGAUGACGAGGCACUGCGGUGCUGAAGCAACAAAUGCCCUGCUUC